rnacentral:rRNA from 1 species
CCUACGGGAGGCAGCAGUGGGGAAUAUUGCGCAAUGGGGGAAACCCUGACGCAGCAACGCCGCGUGAGUGAUGAAGGCUUUCGAGUCGUAAAACUCUGUCUUCGGGGACGAUAAUGACGGUACCCGAGGAGGAAGCCCCGGCUAACUACGUGCCAGCAGCCGCGGUAAU